ACGAACGCUGGCGGCGUGCUUAACCCAUGCAAGUCGAACGGAAAGGCCCUGCUUUUGUGGGGUGCUCGAGUGGCGAACGGGUGAGUAACACGUGAGUAACCUGCCCUUGACUUUGGGAUAACUUCAGGAAACUGGGGCUAAUACCGGAUAGGAGCUCCUGCUGCAUGGUGGGGGUUGGAAAGUUUCGGCGGUUGGGGAUGGACUCGCGGCUUAUCAGCUUGUUGGUGGGGUAGUGGCUUACCAAGGCUUUGACGGGGAGCCGGCCUGAGAGGGUGACCGGCCACAUUGGGACUGAGAUACGGCCCAGACUCCUACGGGAGGCAGCAGUGGGGAAUAUUGCACAAUGGGCGGAAGCCUGAUGCAGCAACGCCGCGUGCGGGAUGACGGCCUUCGGGUUGUAAACCGCUUUCGCCUGUGACGAAGCGUGAGUGACGGUAAUGGGUAAAGAAGCACCGGCUAACUACGUG
rnacentral:rRNA from 1 species